UCCAGAGAUGGAUUGGUGCCUUCGGGAACUGUGAGACAGGUGCUGCAUGGCUGUCGUCAGCUCGUGUUGUGAAAUGUUGGGUUAAGUCCCGCAACGAGCGCAACCCUUAUCCUUUGUUGCCAGCGGUUCGGCCGGGAACUCAAAGGAGACUGCCAGUGAUAAACUGGAGGAAGGUGGGGAUGACGUCAAGUCAUCAUGGCCCUUACGACCAGGGCUACACACGUGCUACAAUGGCAUAUACAAAGAGAAGCGACCUCGCGAGAGCAAGCGGACCUCAUAAAGUAUGUCGUAGUCCGGAUUGGAGUCUGCAACUCGACUCCAUGAAGUCGGAAUCGCUAGUAAUCGUAGAUCAGAAUGCUACGGUGAAUACGUUCCCGGGCCUUGUACACACCGCCCGUCACACCAUGGGAGUGGGUUGCAAAAGAAGUAGGUAGCUUAACCUUCGGGAGGGCGCUUACCACUUUGUGAUUCAUGACUGGGGUGAAGUCGUAACAAGGUAACCGUAGGGGAACCUGCGGUUGGAUCACCUCCUUA
rnacentral:rRNA from 1 species